rnacentral:misc_RNA from 1 species
UGUGUUCAAAAUGCAUUUAAAAAUGAAAAAGUUUUAAUGGUUUUGACUAAAGAAAAGUUUUAAGUGUGUUUUGGGCAGAAGGAACUUCAGCUGCCGAAAGUCCAUUUUACUGUUAAGGAGCUCUUUGAAGAAAUUUCCUUAGAUUUUUCAAAAUCUAGAGGUCAAUUCUUCUAUUUAGAAGUUUGGGAAAGCAGAUUCAAACUUCGGGUCUUUGGUUCUCUCACCUUCAAACUUCAAAAAAAGAGAUAACAUUAUUUCAAGGAAUUAGAUUUCUACAUCAUCAAUUUUAUGUAAAGUUUUGUGAUUUAUGUUGAAAUUGCAUGUUUUUAUUGUUA